rnacentral:lncRNA from 1 species
CUAGCUCCUCCAAAAUCUCCUCUGCACUUUACACAGGAGGACUGUGUGUGGCUUUCAGAUCAGAUGGUAAAGCAGAAAUGCUGAAGGGCUUAGCCCACACAUCAUCUUGUCUCCAUUGCUCUCUUAGUUAGUGUGACUCCAAACUUCAGUUCUUGCAACCAACCCUUGUCUGCCUCUGGAGAUGUUGUGUCCUUUGUAGAAUAUUCUCAUGCCUUUGUGUACCUCUGUAAGUUUCUUUUCUAGCAAUGAAGAUUUAGCAUACAUUAAGAAAUUAUCUAGACAAAUACUUUUUCUGUUGUUUUAAAGCAUCUCCCUUUUGUUUGUUUCUAAAAAUUAUUAUAGUGACAAAUCACUUUUUCUCCCAGUUUCUAACUUUAGUGAACCCAGUGGAGAUAUUCCUUUCCCAAGUACUGAAAACUACAUUAAACUUUUCAAUUUGACAUAGAUCCAGGCUUACCACAGGAACCAAGAAGACUGCAAUAUCAUCCAGUGAAAUACAGAUGUUUUCAGUGUGUGAAACAAAUGUGGCUUUGCUGCUCACCCAUUUCCCUCAGAGCUUCAUUUCUUCCCUUUGAGUCUCCCAGUCUGUCAGCACAUCUGGAACAUUUUUUUUCAUAGGAACUCAGCCUUAUUGGUGUGGAUUGGCUUGCCCUCUAGUGAGAAUCCCUGCUUUCUGCUUCUCAAAUGCAUUCUCUUCCAAGACUGUUGCCGUGUGGUAAAAUGCUCUGGUUCGCCAUUCUUCUACCUCAGCUCCAAAUAUGGUUCUGUGUUUUUAGUUCAAUGUAUGUAUCAAGAUUAGGAGCAGAGCUUUCUGAGUCCAGGGCCCUCACCUUUGGAAUUAGUUUUCCUUGGUUCUCUGCCAAUGUCCAGCUCCAGUAAUCUUCAGAGCACAUGGACAAAUAUUUGUAUUUGGGUAAGUUUUUCUGUAUUUUUAGGUGGUUCAGGUUUGCUUUGAAUUUAACUUUACAGUCUUUGAGACUGUAGAUGGGGAAGUGUUAUUUUCUAACAGGAUUACUUAGUAUUACUCAGCAUGGGAAGUUUUCUAUGUAAUUUAUCAGUUAUUCUUAUAAAUGUGCACUGUACUCCCUGAACUAAGAAUAUAUUUAUUUUCACUUUUAUUUUGCCAUUUUCCAACCUGUGAUACUGGGAGUACUUUGACUGAAAAGCUCUAGAGGACAGAAUUUUGUUCCUUGCAUGUCUUCUCUGUGAAGGAAGGGGUGACUGUGCAGGUGGAGAGACAAUGGGAUGCCUUAUCAGCUGUGUGGGCUCACUGCUUCAUUCUGGGCAAUUCUGUCAUCAAGUCCACCUUGGUACUUGUACCACAGCCAUUGUGGCUGUGCAACCCUCCCCUCCAAAGUGCCUGUCUGCAGUUAGUAAUGCUUUUUGCUUAUGAGACCAAAACUGCAACAGUGUUAAACAGAAGGUUUAAGGCUUUCUACCCCAAAAUGUAGUCUUUCAAUAAAGUCUAUCGCAAUCAUUACA